UCCUGUUGCCGCUUCACAUGGUCUUUCCUCUGUGCGUGCGCAGCUCUGGUGUCCCUCUCCAUGUCCUAAUCUCUUCUCAAAAGGACACCAGUCAUACCUCACUUUACCUUCGUCACCUCACCUUAUCUCCAAGUACAGUCACAUUCUCAGGUCCUGGGAAUGAGGAUUUCAGCAUGUAAAUUUUGCGGAGACACACGUCAGCUCCUAACAAAAUGUUCAGUUGUCUAGCUCACAGGGAUAUCCACAAGCCAGACCCAGAAAGCCUUUGCUACCAUUGAUGAAGAUGCCAAGUCCACAGCCCAACAGCCAGAAGACCCUUGGUCUAGCCCUUGGAUUCAGACUGAAUUGAUAUCGCCAGGUUUCCUGUCUUUUCAGCUUGCAGGCAGCUGAUUGUGGGACUUCUCAGCCUCCUUAAUCAUAUUUUCUUAUCAUUGGCCUUCAACAUUUUUAUCAGGAUAUAUCUGUGUAUAUUGCAGAUUUUACAAAUUGAAGGUUUGUGACAACUCCCUCAAGGAAGUCUGUUGGUGUUAUUUUUCCAACAGCAGGUACUCACUUCAUGUCUCUGUGUCACAUUUUGGCCUUUAAACCAAGAGAAGACAUACCUGAGCAAUUGAACCAGAAGGGAUGAGCCCCACCUGGAUCUGAUGCAGAUUAAAAUAUCUUGGACCUUGGGCCUGAGCUUGGAAUGGAAUGAGACCUUUGAGGAUCUUAGUGGGGAAUCCCCUUGUCAUAAAACCAAUGCAUAAGAUACAACUGCAUCCAAUGUAUUCCAGGGAAAGAUUCUCUGCAGAUGACUCAAGGAAAGCCACAGGAGCAACAGGGAAACUGAAAGAACAAAUAUCACAGUUGAUUCAGAAGGGCAGCCCCACAUUUUUAAGUGAUACCCAACCAUUGUGAACAAGCUCUGUCAACACCAUCUGCUCCACAAAGGAAAGUUGCUGAUUAUUGCAUCUCUAAGUGGAGUCGGUUCUCUCCCACGAUAGCAGAAGGCUUUCACAUUCACUAUACUGUUAUGGACAUGGAGGAUGGGAACCAUUGCUUUGUUUACUCUGCAACUUCUUAAUUAUAUCACAAAAGACUCGACACAUAAGCAGUAUCCAGAAAAGCAAGUCGACUACAUAAAAAUCAAUGCAUGAUUGUCUAUAGCCUUUGACAUACUAGGACCAGUCAAGAUAUGUGUGGAGGGUAAUGAAGAAUGGGCAAAUACCAGAGAAAAGACAGCUGAGUGUCCAUGAUAAAG
rnacentral:lncRNA from 1 species